GAUGAACGCUGGCGGCAUGCCUAACACAUGCAAGUCGGACGGGCAGAGGUGUUUCCAGUGGCGGUCGGGUGAGUAACGCGUAAGUAACUGCCCUUGGGAGGGGAACCACAGCUGGAAACGGUUGCUAAUACCCCGCAGGCUGAGGAGCAAAAGGAGGAAUGAGCCUGAGGAGGGGCUGGCGUCUGAUUAGCUAGGUGGUGAGGCAAUAGCUUACCGAGCCGAUGAUCAGUAGCUGGUCCGAGAGGAUGAUCAGCCACACUGGAACGGAGGCACGACCCAGACACCUACGGGAGGGGGCAGAGGGGAAUUUUCCGCAAGGGGCGAAAGCCAGACGGGGCAUUGCCGCGUGAAGGUAGAUGGCCUGCGAGGCGUGAACUUCUUUUCCCGGAGAAGAAGCAUGAACGGUAUCUGGGAAAUAAGCAUCGGCAAACUCGGU
rnacentral:rRNA from 1 species